UCACCUCCGCAGGCUGCUGACCCCCAGGGUGGGCUGGGUGAGUUUCUCUUCGAAAGGCUCACCCUCAAGCAUGUCUAGGAGC
rnacentral:pre_miRNA from 1 species